rnacentral:rRNA from 1 species
GACGAACGCUGACGGCGUGCUUAACACAUGCAAGUCGAACGGAAAGGCCCUGCUUGCAGGGUACUCGAGUGGCGAACGGGUGGGUAACACGUGUGUGAUCUGCCCUGCACUUCGGGAUAAACCUGGGAAACUGGGUCUAAUACCGGAUAGGAGCCAUUUUUAGUGUGAUGGUUGGAAAGUUUUUUCGGUGUAGGAUGAGCUCGCGGCCUAUCAGCUUGUUGGUGGGGUAAUGGCCUACCAAGGCGGCGACGGGUAGCCGGCCUGAGAGGGUGGACGGCCACAUUGGGACUGGGAUACGGCCCAGACUCCUACGGGAGGCAGCAGUGGGGAAUAUUGCACAAUGGGCGCAAGCCUGAUGCAGCGACGCCGCGUGGGGGAUGACGGCCUUCGGGUUGUAAACUCCUUUCGCUAGGGACGAAGCUUUUUGUGACGGUACCUAGAUAAGAAGCACCGGCUAACUACGUGCCAGCCGCCGCCGUAA